CCUACGGGAGGCAGCAGUGAGGAAUAUUGGUCAAUGGCCGUAAGGCUGAACCAGCCAAGUAGCGUGAGGGAAGAAUGCCCUAUGGGUUGUAAACCUCUUUUAUGCGGGGAUAAAGGUGUCCACGUGUGGCUGUUUGCAGGUACCGCAUGAAUAAGGACCGGCUAAUUCCGUGCCAGCAGCCGCGGUAAUACGGAAGGUCCGGGCGUUAUCCGGAUUUAUUGGGUUUAAAGGGAGCGUAGGCCGGUCUUUAAGCGUGCCGUGAAAUUUUGUGGCUCAACCAUGAGAGUGCGGCGUGAACUGGAGACCUUGAGUGCGCGGAAGGCAGGCGGAAUUCGUGGUGUAGCGGUGAAAUGCGUAGAUAUCACGAAGAACCCCGAUGGCGAAGGCAGCCUGCCGCAGCGUUACUGACGCUGAAGCUCGAAAGCGCGGGUAUCGAACAGGAUUAGAUACCCGUGUAGUC
rnacentral:rRNA from 1 species